AGGAAACCUCCCUUCGUCCGAGCCCCUCUGUGGUCUUACACACCCUCCAUGUCUGAAUAUACUGGAACUCAGCUGGCCUCAAAGCCCACCUGUGAUCUCACCUUGCAGAACGCUCACCUGUCACCUGCCACGUAAGGACACGUAGAAAUCCCGAGCACGGGGAGGAUGAGUCCCUGCGCGCCUCCAGUCAUCGAAGACAGUGCCAAACAGCACAGCAGCCCUGACACAAAUUCUGACAUUCAAAUAACUCCUUUCGAGACUUGCUGACUCCUGGAUUCCUGGAUGCCUGAGAAGACAUGUACACCAGGUCACAAUCCUCAACAAAGACCUCCAAACCCCAAGAAAGGUGAGACUCCCUCCGUUCUUUUAUGAGUCUCCUGGGCACUGUGUCUGCACCUACACUCUCUCUCUACUUUCAGUAAACUCUGCCUUCACCUCCUACUGGUUCGCAUUUAUCUUUGUCCUGCACGCAGGCACGGACCCCCUGGGCUGGUCCUGUGGGACCCCCUCUGCAUUC
rnacentral:lncRNA from 1 species